AUUGCUGGUCCCUCUCUGUGCUCUGAAGUUCACUCUACUGAGCUACGUGGGUGCAGUCAUCUGUGACUCUAGAAUGAUAAUCUUUUGAUGUGGAAAUCUCGGUGCUGUUAAAGUAUCGGUAUUUUUGCAAGUGGUGUCACAACCAUGAUUUUUCUGCAUGUGAAGUCUGAUUCUGGCAUGAAUCACAGCUCUUUGAGAUCCACCUCUUUCAGGAGGUCUGCACAGCUAUCCGUGAACUAGAGCAUCCUAUAAAGAGCUGAG